rnacentral:rRNA from 1 species
CCCAGUUCAGAUCGCAGUCUGCAACUCGACUGCGUGAAGUCGGAAUCGCUAGUAAUCGCGGAUCAGCAUGCCGCGGUGAAUACGUUCCCGGGCCUUGUACACACCGCCCGUCACACCAUGAGAGUCGGGAACACCCGAAGCCCGUAGCCUAACAGCAAUGAGGGCGCGGUCGAAGGUGGGUUCGAUAAUUGGGGUGAAGUCGUAACAAGGUAGC